UUUGGUAGUGUCGAUCAAAGUAAGACAUGCUUUUCUCCUUCGAUUAAAACUAACGCAUGUGCUCUCUCUCUCUCUCUAUCUCAACUUUUUCGUUUGAUUGUUUUCUACUAAAAUUUAAAAAAUUCUAAGUGUUAACCACCAAAAUAAAUUCCUGUAAACAUCUCUCUCAAAUUAAUGAAAUUAUACUUUGAUUGUCAAUCCAUUUUCAUGUUCAUUGAUAUCAAGUAUUUAUCAUUCUCUCGUUUUUUCAAUUUUCACUCAUUUACUACCAUUUCACACCUUUUCUCCCGUUCUGGCAUUCUCUACCGAUUCGUCAUUUUGGAGGAAGGAGAAGAGUUCACCAGCAGGAUUUUUUCUUCACAGAUCGUGCGCAGCUUCUGCAUGGGUCGUUCAAGCUCCUCCAUGGGUAAAGUUCCUGUAAUCACGAGUCGUAUUUGCUCUCAUCCUUCGCUUCGCGAUUUCUCUCUUCUUGUUAUCGCAAAAGCUGGGCUGGGUGGCUUUUUUCGUUGUUCGUCUGAAGUUUACAAUAACAACUGUUGUUCACUGUCGCCGUCAAUUAUGAUUAUGCAGAGGUUAGCGUAGGAGGCGCACGACAAUUUCAAUACAACAAUUGUUUACUAGGAGGAUGCAAAGGCCAGGUGAAAUAAGAAGUAGGCUUGGUUUGUUAUGGGUGAUCGAGUGCAUAAGCCCACCAGUGCUAGUUCCACAAAAGAUGUCCAUUAAAUCUACAAACAAAUACCCAUUACAUGGUUUAUACAAAAGAAGUGUUCAUAAUGCAUAAAACAAUGGGAAUUAUGGAGCUUUUACCGAGUUUUUGUCUGCUAUUUGAAUGCACCUGAAGUAAGGAUGAUCUUCUAGUCCCUACUGUGGUCGGUACGUGAUGUGUGAGCAUCUUUUCUAUAUUUUCUUAGCAAUUUAGAUAUAGAUUUAUUAAGUUUUUAUGAGAUUUUUUAGUGUUUGAGGCAUGUUUGGAUGCUACUUUGAUGUGCAUUGUGGUUUUAUUAAUUUCAGGAAAGAUUCGGGCACGUUUGACAGAAUUCGUGCAAAAGAAAAAAUGAAGAAAGUGGAUGCUAUCAACCCUAAUCUCUUUACACUCCAACAAGCAUAACACGAGCUACAGAGAUCUAAUUGAUGUAGUUUUAGGGACAUUGGAAAGCCAACUUCUAGAGCUUUACCACAAUGUAUAAUAGUCUAUACUUUUUUUCCUGGUGUCACGGUGCUAAACGCCAAUGUCGCGGCAUUUAGUUAGAUUACUACCGUAACAUGUGUGGCUCACUACCUCGUGGGGUGCUAAACACCCAGCCAGGCAUUUAGGGCAAGGAAGAUAGAAACAAAUGGGAAGCUUACUACCUCGUGGGGCAUUAAAUACCGAUUCUGGGGUUUAGCGCCAGUAGCGCGGAUCCAACUUCAACAAAAGGGCUUCAUUAGUUAGAUUUGGGUCAUAUUCAUUAUAUUUUACUUUGUUUUGGUUAUUAUUUAUAAACACAAUCUUUUAGGCUUUGGUAGUUAUUAUUUAAUUUUAUUUUCAAAUCAAACUAGGUUAGAUAUAAAAGGAAAAAUAUUUAGCUCUUCGGGCUGGAUCUCUUCUCUGGGACCUCAUUCUGCACUUUCACAUUUUUCGAACCAUAAUUUUCUCUCUAAGUCAUGAGCAACUAAACCUCAUUGGUUAAGGUUAGGAGCUCUGUUUAUUCUA